rnacentral:rRNA from 1 species
CCUACGGGAGGCAGCAGUGAGGAAUAUUGGUCAAUGGCCGUAAGGCUGAACCAGCCAAGUCGCGUGAAGGAAGACGGAUCUAUGGUUUGUAAACUUCUUUUAUAGGGGAAUAAAGGUAUCCACGUGUGGAUAUUUGUAUGUACCUUAUGAAUAAGCAUCGGCUAACUCCGUGCCAGCAGCCGCGGUAAUACGGAGGAUGCGAGCGUUAUCCGGAUUUAUUGGGUUUAAAGGGUGCGUAGGCUGUUUUUUAAGUCAGCGGUGAAAGUUUGGGGCUCAACCAUAAAAGUGCCGUUGAAACUGGGUGACUUGAGUGUGUUUGAGGUAGGCGGAAUGCGUGGUGUAGCGGUGAAAUGCAUAGAUAUCACGCAGAACUCCGAUUGCGAAGGCAGCUUACUAAGCCAUAACUGACACUGAAGCACGAAAGCGUGGGUAGCAAACAGGAUUAGAUACCCGUGUAGUC